AGUGAACGCUGGCGGUAGGCCUAACACAUGCAAGUCGAACGGCAGCACAGUAAGAGCUUGCUCUUACGGGUGGCGAGUGGCGGACGGGUGAGGAAUACAUCGGAAUCUACUUUUUCUAGGGGGCUAACGUAGGGACACUUACGCUAAUACCCCAUACGACCUACGGGUGAAAGCAGGGGAUCUUAGGACCUUGCGCGAUCCAAUGAGCCGAUGUCGGAUUAGUUAGUUGGGGGGGUAAAGGCCCACCAAGGCGACGAUCCGUAGCUGGUCUGAGAGGAUGAUCAGCCACACUGGAACUGAGACACGGUCCAGACUCCUACGGGAGGCAGCAGUGGGGAAUAUUGGACAAUGGGCGCAAGCCUGAUCCAGCCAUGCCGCGUGGGUGAAGAAGGCCUUCGGGUUGUAAAGCCCUUUUGUUGGGAAAGAAGAGCAGCAAGUUAAUACCCCGCUGUUCUGACGGUACCCAAAGAAUAAGCACCGGCUAACUUCGUG
rnacentral:rRNA from 1 species